rnacentral:ncRNA from 1 species
CAAAGGCAUGGUCCCGACCUUACUAUCAGCUUUAGCCCAACUUACACAUGCAAGUCUCCGCAGCCCCGUGAAUAUGCCCUCAAUCCCCCGCCCGGGGACGAGGAGCGGGCAUCAGGCACAAACUUUUAGCCCAAGACGCCUAGCCAAGCCACACCCCCAAGGGAAUUCAGCAGUGAUAAACAUUAAGCCAUAAGUGAAAACUUGACUCAGUCAGGGCUAAGAGGGCCGGUAAAACUCGUGCCAGCCACCGCGGUUAAACGAGAGGCCCUAGUUGAUAUUUUUACGGCGUAAAGGGUGGUUAAGGAAAGCACAACAAUAAAGCCGAAUGGCCCUCUGGCCGUCAUACGCUUCCAGGUGUCCGAAGUUCAACUCACGAAAGUAGCUUUAAUACAGCCCACCUGACCCCACGAAAGCUGAGAAACAAACUGGGAUUAGAUACCCCACUAUGCUCAGCCCUAAACCUAGACAUCCAACUACAAUUAAACGUCCGCCCGGGUACUACGAGCAUCAGCUUGAAACCCAAAGGACCUGACGGUGCCUUAGACCCCCCUAGAGGAGCCUGUUCUAGAACCGAUAACCCCCGUUAAACCUCACCACUUCUAGCCACCCCAGCCUAUAUACCGCCGUCGUCAGCUUACCCUGUGAAGGCAAUAAAAGUAAGCAAAAUGGGCACAACCCAGAACGUCAGGUCGAGGUGUAGCGUACGAGGUGGGAAGAAAUGGGCUACAUUUUCUACAUUUAGAACACUACGGAUAAUGCAACAUGAAAUAGUGCUUGAAGGAGGAUUUAGUAGUAAAAAGGAAGCAGAGUGUCCUUUUGAACCCGGCUCUGAGGCGCGUACACACCGCCCGUCACUCUCCCCUGUCAAAAUGCAAUAACAAUACAUAAUGCCAUAGCACUGACAAGGGGAGGCAAGUCGUAACAUGGUAAGUGUACCGGAAGGUGCACUUGGAUUAAACU